ensembl:lncRNA
UGUCCGCCAGCGUUCCUUCUCUGGGGAUGAUAAAUAGCAGAGGCCCUCCAUCUCGACUCACAAACCUGCAACUCCUCUCAUCCCUCGUUCAACAGCUGGCAUCAUCUGUCAUCCCAGAAACAUGAGUCGGAACUCUCUCAGCGCCAAUCAGCAGCUCUUUAAAGGGGACUUCCUCAUGAGUAACAACCAAGAGUACAAGGCUAUCUUUCAGAAUGGGGUUGUCCAUCGGGACCUGAAGCUGGAGAACAUCCUUUUUUGAUCAAGACCUGAAUAUUAAGGGACUGUAAGCACAUAAUGUAUUUUAUCCGCUCUGCUUUCAUGUGUGAAUUUUCUUAGAAAACAGUUAAUACUUCUACUCAGAGAAAGAAAAGUGUUAACGUCUUAUGGAAUAUUUAUUACAAAAGUAUAGAAAGUUACAGAAUGUGACUGUUAAUACAAAGAGAACAUGCAAAGUGAGUUACUGCUGUAGUUCAGGCCCUCUUUGAUCUAGCUGACAUCUUACUAAAGGAAGUCAUGAUGAACUGAUUUUAAUCUGAGGUGCUUUAAUGUUUCCUAUCAUCCAGCCUUUUUGGUCCGAAACGCUUAAUCAUGCCUGUGUUCUUUCCAACUCGGAAAUAAAGGGCU